rnacentral:lncRNA from 1 species
GUGAAGCUCUGAAAUUCUCUCCAGUCCUAACUUUUCUGCUUUUUCUUCUGUCAGAAUUUCCUCAGUUACUUAAAAACAGAAGGAAAAGCAGGAGGACUAUGCUGACCACACUCUGGGAAAAAUAUCUUCAGUAGUCAAGAAUGUAAAAGCAGUGUCUGAUGUGGUCAUUAGAAGGAUGAGCAAAAGUAUGAGAAGAGAUUGGAGGGGUCCAGGAAGAGCAUCUCUUAGAAAGGCUUGACUUGAAACCCAUGGCAACCAAGGGAAAAAGAUUAUUUCAUGUGAUCACCAUGAACCCAGUCGUUAUCUAUUCAGAAACAGGAAUAAUGCUACUAUACAGUCCUAUGCGUUACUGAUUUCAAAACACUUUUCAAAGAUAAGAUGAGAUUUCAUGACAAGUUGGGUCAUACCAAUGUGAAGACAGCAAAGAGGAUAUCACAUGCUCUAGGGAUGGCAUCCCACUUACAUGGUCUAUCUACCACAGUGACUUUUGGAUAUCCAAGAUUCUGUUUUUUCCAGAUUACUAGAGGGAUGAAGUUGAGAUCCAUGAAGUACAGAAGAGAAAAUAGUUUAUGUGACAUGACAUCAGCUCUCAUAUACAUGCCGUGAGUUUCUUCUCAGAAAUUGGAAACCUUGAAUCCUGAUCACUCAUUGGUCUCAAGCACAAUACCCGC